rnacentral:rRNA from 1 species
UACGGGGGGGGCAAGCGUUGUUCGGAAUUACUGGGCGUAAAGGGCUCGUAGGCGGCCAACUAAGUCGGAUGUGAAAUCCCCAGGCUUAACUUGGGAACUGCAUCCGAUACUGGAUGGCUUGAAUCCGGGAGAGGGAUGCAGAAUUCCAGGUGUAGCGGUGAAAUGCGUAGAUAUCUGGAGGAAUACCGGUGGCGAAGGCGGCAUCCUGGACCAAUUCUGACGCUGAGGAGCGAAAGCCAGGGGAGCAAACGGG